GCGGACGUGGUGGAACGGUAGACACGCUAGUCUUAGGAACUAGUCCCGCAAGGGGUGGGAGUUCGAGUCUCCCCGUCCGCAUCA
rnacentral:tRNA from 1 species